rnacentral:lncRNA from 1 species
UCUGUUUCCAGAGCACUGAACGUACUUGAUUCCAUCAGACUCACCCUUUCUGUUCAGUCCUUAGCCUCUCAGUGUUCUCAGCCUCCCAGUUCAUCUCGCUCUCUUGCUCGUGCCAGAGGCAGACGGGGUAGAGGACGCACUUCUGAUCCAUCAGCUUCUCAUCUCAUAUCUGAUGACUCCGAUCCAUGACUUCUCAUGAUCAUUACUAGAUCUUAGGUGUUAGUAUCUUGUUCUAGGAUCUGUAUUUUAGGGCCAUGUAUUGACAAUUAGCUGGUUGACUUUUAUAUUAAGAACUAUGUAUUGAAAUAGUUAUGAUUUUAUGGUAUCAUCUUUUACUUAUAUUUCUACCUUUUGUAAUGAUGACGAUCAUAUUUUGGUUAUAUAUAUUCUCCUUGUUGAAAUAUUAUCUUCUCUUUGUUAUUGUUUGCUGUUAAUAAUUGCUGUAUUAAGGGG